rnacentral:rRNA from 1 species
GACGAACGCUGGCGGCGUGCUUAACACAUGCCAGUCGAACGGAAAGGCCCUGCUUUUGUGGGGUGCUCGAGUGGCGAACGGGUGAGUAACACGUGAGUAACCUGCCCUUGACUUUGGGAUAACUUCAGGAAACUGGGGCUAAUACCGGAUAGGAGCUCCUGCUGCAUGGUGGGGGUUGGAAAGUUUCGGCGGUUGGGGAUGGACUCGCGGCUUAUCAGCUUGUUGGUGGGGUAGUGGCUUACCAAGGCUUUGACGGGUAGCCGGCCUGAGAGGGUGACCGGCCACAUUGGGACUGAGGUACGGCCCAGACUGCUACGGGAGGCAGCGGUGGGGAAUAUUGCACAAUGGGCGGAAGCCUGAUGCAGCAACGCCGCGUGCGGGAUGACGGCCUUCGGGUUGUAAACCGCUUUCGCCUGUGACGAAGCGUGAGUGACGGUAAUGGGUAAAGAAGCACCGGCUAACUACGUG